GACGAACGCUGGCGGCGUGCUUAACACAUGCAAGACGAACGGAAAGGCCCUGCUUUUGUGGGGUGCUCGAGUGGCGAACGGGUGAGUAACACGUAAGUAACCUGCCCUUGACUUUGGGAUAACUUCAGGAAACUGGGGCUAAUACCGGAUAGGAGCUCCUGCUGCAUGGUGGGGGUUGGAAAGUUUCGGCGGUUGGGGAUGGACUCGCGGCUUAUCAGCUUGUUGGUGGGGUAGUGGCUUACCAAGGCUUUGACGGGUAGCCGGCCUGAGAGGGUGACCGGCCACAUUGGGACUGAGAUACGGCCCAGACUCCUACGGGAGGCAGCAGUGGGGAAUAUUGCACAAUGGGCGGAAGCCUGAUGCAGCAACGCCGCGUGCGGGAUGACGGCCUUCGGGUUGUAAACCGCUUUCGCCUGUGACGAAGCGUGAGUGACGGUAAUGGGUAAAGAAGCACCGGCUAACUACGUG
rnacentral:rRNA from 1 species